rnacentral:rRNA from 1 species
GACGAACGCUGGCGGCGUGCCUAAUACAUGCAAGUAGGACGCAGUUGCGAACGGGUGAGUAACGCGUAGGUAACUACCUAUUAGAGGGGGAUAACUAUUGGAAACGAUAGCUAAUACCGCAUACUAGUAGAUGGACCUGCGUUGUAUUAGCUAGUAGGUAGGGUAAUGGCCUACCUAGGCAACGAUACAUAGCCGAACUGGAGGGGUUGUCGGCCCCACUUGGACUGGGGAACCGCCCAGACGUCUACGGGAGGCAGCAGUAGGGAAACUUCGGCAAUGGGGGGAACCCCUGCCGAGCCACGCCGGGGUAGUGGAGAAGGGUUUCGGAUCGUAAAGCUCUUUUGUUAAGGAAGCGGUACUUAACCAGAAAGGGACGGCUAACUACGUGCCAGCAGCCGCGGUAAUUC